rfam:Triticum urartu cultivar G1812 contig1032462, whole genome shotgun sequence.
CUCGUACUUUCUCCGUUCGGAAAAUACUUGUUAUCAAAAUGAAUGCAAGAGGAUGUAUCUAGACGUAUUUUUAAUCUAAAUACAUCUAUUUUUAUCCAUUUUAAUGAAAAAUAUUUUCGAACGAAGGGAAUAUGUG